rnacentral:rRNA from 1 species
UACGUAGGCAGCGAGCGUUGUUCGGAGUUACUGGGCGUAAAGAGUGCGUAGGCGGUUUUCUAAGUUUUGUGUGAAAUCUCCCGGCUCAACUGGGAGGGUGCGCCGAAGACUGGAAGGCUUGAGUAUGGGAGAGGUAAGCGGAAUUCCUGGUGUAGCGGUGAAAUGCGUAGAUAUCAGGAGGAACACCUGCGGUGUAGACGGCUUUCUGGACCAUAGCUGACGCUGAGACACGAAAGCGUGGGUAGCAAACAUG